rnacentral:rRNA from 1 species
AUUGAACGCUGGCGGAAUGCUUUACACAUGCAAGCCGAACGGCAGCAUAGGUGCUUGCACCUGAUGGCGAGUGGCGAACGGGUGAGUAAUACAUCGGAACGUGCCCAGUCGUGGGGGAUAACGGAGCGAAAGUUACGCUAAUACCGCAUACGAUCUAAGGAAGAAAGCGGGGGACCGUAAGGCCUCGCGCGAUUGGAGCGGCCGCUGUCAGAUUAGGUAGUUGGUGAGGUAAAGGCUCACCAAGCCGACGAUCUGUAGCUGGUCUGAAAGGACGACCAGCCACACUGGGACUGAGACACGGCCCAGACUCCUACGGGAGGCAGCAGUGGGGAAUUUUGGACAAUGGACGCAAGUCUGAUCCAGCCAUUCCGCGUGCAGGACGAAGGCCUUCGGGUUGUAAACUGCUUUUGUACGGAACGAAAAAGCUCUUACUAAUACUAGGAGUCCAUGACGGUACCGUAAGAAUAAGCACCGGCUAACUACGUGCCAGCCGCCGCCGUAA